CUCUGUUGUGAAUCCAGUUUCUUUCACAAGACUGAAGGAGUGUUUCGAGCCAAAAGUAUAUUCCUGGAUGUGUUUGUGAGUUUUGAAGAAAUUCAUUAACAAAGACAAUGGGACCAAAACCUUCUAAAGUGAAAUCACACUGUAAGGUAAAAUGUGGUCCAACCAGCAUCAUGGGUGAAUAUGAUCUUGAUCUGGAAUACCCUAACAACAACCCAAAUAUGGUAAGAUUACAAUGUGA